UACGUAGGUGGCAAGCGUUGUCCGGAAUUAUUGGGCGUAAAGCGCGCGCAGGCGGCCUUUUAAGUCUGAUGUGAAAUCUUGCGGCUCAACCGCAAGCGGCCAUUGGAAACUGGGAGGCUUGAGUACAGAAGAGGAGAGUGGAAUUCCACGUGUAGCGGUGAAAUGCGUAGAUAUCGGAAGGAACACCAGUGGCGAAAGCGGCUUCCUGGUCCGACACCGACGUUCAGGCACGAAAGCGUGGGGAGCAAACAGG
rnacentral:rRNA from 1 species